UACGUAGGGUGCGAGCGUUUGUCCGGAAUUAUUGGGCGUAAAGAGCUCGUAGGCGGCUGUUCGAGUCGGGUGUGAAAUCCUGAGGCUUAACCUUGGGUCUGCAUUCGAUACUGGGCGGCUUGAGUCUGGUAGGGGGAUCUGGAAUUCCUGGUGUAGCGGUGAAAUGCGUAGAUAUCUGGAGGAACACCGGUGGCGAAGGCGGCAUCCUGGACCACGACUGACGCUGAUGAGCGAAAGCCAGGGGAGCAAACGGG
rnacentral:rRNA from 1 species